AUGAACAAAAUUAAUUUUAGAUUUGGUAUUUAAUUAAUAUUAUAAUAUACAUAUAAAAGCUUUUAAUAUUAAAUUUUAAUUUUAAAUAAAUUAGUAAAUAGUUUUAUAUUAUUAGUAUAUAAAUUUUUAAUGAUUAAGAAAUUAAAAUAAAGUAAUAUUAAAAACAAUUAUUGAUAAAAAUUUGUGCCAGCAAUCGCGGUUAAACAAAAAAUAAUGGAAAUAUUUAUAAUGAAUAUGAAAUAAAUUAAAAAUUAACUAUUAAUUAAAAUUUUAAUUUAAAAGUAAAAUUUAUAAAUAAAAAAUAAUAAUUAAUGAAAUAUUUAUAAUGAAUUUAAAAAAUAUAUGAUUAAACUAGGAUUAGAUACCCUAUUAUAAUAGAUUAAAUUUAUUGAAUUUAAAUAGUAAGAAAUCUUAAAUUUAAGAAAGUUGGCAGUAUUUUAAUCAAUUUAGAGGAAUUUGUUUUAUAAUUGAUAUUACACGAUUUUAGAUACCUGAAUAUAUUUGUAUAUCGUUGUUUUUAGAGAUAUAUAUUAAAAGUAAAUAUGUUAAAUUUUAUUUUAAAAUUUAAAUCAAAUCAAGAUGCAGUAAUUUUUAGGAAAUUUAUGAAUUACAAUAAUUUAAAUUAAAAAUGGAUUUUAAAAUUUAAAGAUUUUAUGAAAGUGGAUUUAAAAGUAAUUAUAUUUAAAAUUUUUAUGGUGAUUUAAGUUUUAAAAUAUGUACAUAUUGCCCGUCACUUUUUAUAAGAUAAGAAGAAGUCUAAAUAUAUAAAAUUGUAUUUAAUUAAGUAUAUUAUUGGUAUAAAAAUAAGUCGUAACAAAGUAGAGGUACUGGAAAGUGUUUCUAGAAUUAAU
rnacentral:ncRNA from 1 species